UACGAAGGGGGCUAGCGUUGCUCGGAAUUACUGGGCGUAAAGGGCGCGUAGGCGGACAGUUAAGUUGGGGGUGAAAGCCCGGGGCUCAACCUCGGAAUUGCCUUCAAUACUGGCUGUCUUGAGUACGGGAGAGGUGUGUGGAACUCCGAGUGUAGAGGUGAAAUUCGUAGAUAUUCGGAAGAACACCAGUGGCGAAGGCGACAUACUGGCUCAUUACUGACGCUGAGGCUCGAAAGCGUGGGGAGCAAACAGG
rnacentral:rRNA from 1 species